CGGGUGAGUAAUGUCUGGGAAACUGCCUGAUGGAGGGGGAUAACUACUGGAAACGGUAGCUAAUACCGCAUAACGUCGCAGAACCAAAGUGGGGGACCUUCGGGCCUCAUGCCAUCAGAUGUGCCCAGAUGGGAUUAGCUAGUAGGUGGGGUAACGGCUCACCUAGGCGACGAUCCCUAGCUGGUCUGAGAGGAUGACCAGCCACACUGGAACUGAGACACGGUCCAGACUCCUACGGGAGGCAGCAGUGGGGAAUAUUGCACAAUGCGCGCAAGCCUGAUGCAGCCAUGCCGCGUGUGUGAAGAAGGCCUUCGGGUUGUAAAGCACUUUCAGCGGGGAGGAAGGCGAUAAGGUUAAUAACCUUGUCGAUUGACGUUACCCGCAGAAGAAGCACCGGCUAACUCCGUGCCAGCAGCCGCGGUAAUACGGAGGGUGCAAGCGUUAAUCGGAAUUACUGGGCGUAAAGCGCACGCAGGCGGUCUGUCAAGUCGGAUGUGAAAUCCCCGGGCUCAACCUGGGAACUGCAUUCGAAACUGGCAGGCUAGAGUCUUGUAGAGGGGGGUAGAAUUCCAGGUGUAGCGGUGAAAUGCGUAGAGAUCUGGAGGAAUACCGGUGGCGAAGGCGGCCCCCUGGACAAAGACUGACGCUCAGGUGCGAAAGCGUGGGGAGCAAAGAGGAUUAGAUACCCUGGUAGUCCACGCCGUAAACGAUGUCGAUUUGGAGGUUGUGCCCUUGAGGCGUGGCUUCCGGAGCUAACGCGUUAAAUCGACCGCCUGGGGAGUACGGCCGCAAGGUUAAAACUCAAAUGAAUUGACGGGGGCCCGCACAAGCGGUGGAGCAUGUGGUUUAAUUCGAUGCAACGCGAAGAACCUUACCUGGUCUUGACAUCCACAGAACUUUCCAGAGAUGGAUUGGUGCCUUCGGGAACUGUGAGACAGGUGUUGCAUGGCUGUCGUCAGCUCGUGUUGUGAAAUGUUGGGUUAAGUCCCGCAACGAGCGCAACCCUUAUCCUUUGUUGCCAGCGGUCCGGCCGGGAACUCAAAGGAGACUGCCAGUGAUAAACUGGAGGAAGGUGGGGAUGACGUCAAGUCAUCAUGGCCCUUACGACCAGGGCUACACACGUGCUACAAUGGCAUAUACUAAGA
rnacentral:rRNA from 1 species